UACGGGGGGGGCAAGCGUUGUUCGGAAUUACUGGGCGUAAAGGGCGCGUAGGCGGCCUACUAAGUCGGACGUGGAAUCCCUCGGCUCAACCGAGGAACUGCGUCCGAUACUGGCAGGCUGGAAUCCGGGAGAGGGAUGUGGAAUUCCAGGUGUAGCGGUGAAAUGCGUAGAUAUCGGGAGGAACAUCUGUGGCGAAGGCGGCCAUCUGGACCAGCACUGACACUGAGGCACGAAAGCGUGGGGAGCAAACAGG
rnacentral:rRNA from 1 species